GACGAACGCUGGCGGCGUGCUUAACACAUGCAAGUCGAGCGGUAAGGCCCUUUCGGGGGUACACGAGCGGCGAACGGGUGAGUAACACGUGGGUGACCUGCCCUCAGCUCUGGGAUAAGCCUGGGAAACCGGGUCUAAUACUGGAUAUGACUCCAUGACGCAUGUUGUGGGGUGGAAAGCCUUGUGCGGCUGAGGAUGGGCCCGCGGCCUAUCAGCUUGUUGGUGGGGUGANGGCCUACCAAGGCGACGACGGGUAGCCGGCCUGAGAGGGCGACCGGCCACACUGGGACUGAGACACGGCCCA
rnacentral:rRNA from 1 species